rnacentral:rRNA from 1 species
CACGUAGGGGGCAAGCGUUGUCCGGAUUUAUUGGGCGUAAAGAGCUCGUAGGUGGCUGAGUAAGUCGGAUGUUAAAUCCCCAGGCUCAACCUGGGACACCACCCGAUACUGCUCUGGCUAGAGUCCGGUAGGGGAGCGUGGAAUUCCUGGUGUAGCGGUGAAAUGCGCAGAUAUCAGGAGGAACACCAGCGGCGAAGGCGGCGCUCUGGGCCGGAACUGACACUGAGGAGCGAAAGCGUGGGUAGCAAACAGG